rnacentral:rRNA from 1 species
AUGGCCGCCCCCAGUGAGCCCCCUGGCUGCACACCGUGGCUUGUGUCCUUGGCCACCGAGCCACUUCCUGGAGGGGAACAGAGCCGCAGACUAUGGGAUCCCACAGUUACUUCCAAGUUCCGCAACCUCCUAGAUGAGAAGGAAUUUAAGGUCAGUUUCCCCCGGGGCCAAGCUGUGGCCUGCUGCGGCUCCUUCCGCGGCUGGCUGGUCGUGGCCAACGAGCUCUCAGACCUUGUCCUCUACAACCCCUUCACGGCGGCAUUGCUCCCGCUCCCGCCGCUCACUGGCUUCUCGUCGUGCAUCGAAGGGGUCUAUGCAGACGAAGGAAAUGUCAUUGGCUAUCGUUGUAGGUGUCACCAUGCUAGUAGCAAUAGCAGUGUUUAUGACAUGGAUUCUCUGGGCAGGCAUUUCUAUGACAAGGUUGUGUUGUCUGGUUCUCCAUCUGCCCGUCCCGCAGUUGCCUUGGCCAUCCACUUGGACGGCAAGCGGCUCUCUUUUGCGAGGGUAGGAGAUAGUUUUUGGCGACAAGUUUCGGUGAUAAGGAGAAGCCAAGAUAGUUUUGCCGAUUGUGUCUACCUCCGGGGCAGAUUCUACGUGUUGUCAAUGACAGGUAAAUUGAAGAUUUGGGACCUCGGUGGACCGGAGGACAUGCCACGAAAGAAAACGAUCAUCGCCGAGGAAGACGAUGACUUUUUCGAAGUUAUCACGAGAUACUUGGUUCCAACUCGCUGGGGACAUCUUCUGCAGAUUCGUGUCGUCUUGGACAAGGAUCAGGAUCAUUGCGUCAGUGUUUACGUAGACAGGCUGGAUCGCAAGAGCUGCCAAAUGGUUGGAGUAAGCCCCGCAAAGGCUCUAAGGGGGCAUGCUGCGCUCCUCGGACAGAAUAGCCCGGGUCUCUUGUCCGUGGAAAAGUUCCCUGAGCUGAGACCGGACUGUAUCUACUUCACGACUCCCCGUCUCAGGGGUGACAUUUUUGAGCGUUGA